AAAGAUUAAGCCAUGCAUGUCUAAGUAUAAGCAAUUAUACCGCGAAACUGCGAAUGGCUCAUUAUAUAAGUUAUCGUUUAUUUGAUAAUACUUUACUACUUGGAUAACCGUGGUAAUUCUAGAGCUAAUACAUGCUGAAAAUCCCGACUUCGGAAGGGAUGUAUUUAUUAGAUUAAAAACCAAUGCCCCUCGGGGCUCUCUGGUGAAUCAUGAUAACUAGUCGAAUCGACAGGCCUUGUGCCGGCGAUGGCUCAUUCAAAUUUCUUCCCUAUCAACUUUCGAUGUUUGGGUAUUGGCCAAACAUGGUGG
rnacentral:rRNA from 1 species